AUCUUUAAGCAUAACCACCUUUACCUUCAAUUCAUUAAUGGCGUGUUCUCUUUCAUCUGAUAUCCUGAUGAGUGUACAUCUUCAUCUGAUCUCCCGAUGCUGCUACAUUAGUUUUUUGUUGUGGAUUUAGAUAUCUGGUGUCUCUAAUUAGGAGCUGUUGGAUAUCAUCCAAUAAUCUUGCACAGCGAGAUCGAAGCUAUUUAGUAAACUGAAACUGUCGCUGCAACAAUUCUUCUUGUGAUCGUUGCUCCUUGCCAAUUCAUCGAUCUGAGUUUAUCGACGUCGCCCAGAUCGACUCCAUUGCCUCUCACCAUCUCCAAAAUUUGUGGCCGAGCGCUCGCCAACACCAGAGCUGCAGGGGUUC